AAUAGAUACCCUGGUAGUCCACGCCGUAAACGAUGAGUGCUAAGUGUUAGAGGGUUUCCGCCCUUUAGUGCUGCAGCAAACGCAUUAAGCACUCCGCCUGGGGAGUACGGCCGCAAGGCUGAAACUCAAAGGAAUUGACGGGGGGCCCGCACAAGCGGUGGAGCAUGUGGUUUAAUUCGAAGCAACGCGAAGAACCUUACCAGGUCUUGACAUCCUCUGACACUCCUAGAGAUAGGACGUUCCCCUUCGGGGGACAGAGUGACAGGUGGUGCAUGGUUGUCGUCAGCUCGUGUCGUGAGAUGUUGGGUUAAGUCCCGCAACGAGCGCAACCCUUGAUCUUAGUUGCCAGCAUUCAGUUGGGCACUCUAAGGUGACUGCCGGUGACAAACCGGAGGAAGGUGGGGAUGACGUCAAAUCAUCAUGCCCCUUAUGACCUGGGCUACACACGUGCUACAAUGGAUGGUACAAAGGGCAGCAAAGCCGCGAGGUCGAGCAAAUCCCAUAAAACCAUCCUCAGUUCGGAUUGU
rnacentral:rRNA from 1 species